UAUCUCCCAUGUUUGACCCUAAUAACCGAUGCUGGAGUUACCUCAGACUUUGUGAUUGAAGGUCCUCCAAGUCCCCUGAUUGAAGCACAGAGCCUUCAACUCACUGAAGCUACCGAAUAGCAUCUGGGAGAUAACCUCUGCCUUAAGCAAAACAAAGGAGAGACUGAGCUUUCCAAAUUCCUUCUGGUUUGGCUUUCCCGUUCUCCUUCUGAGCGUCACCUGUGGCCCACAACAUCCUCUGAGCUUCAGAGAAUGGGAAACCGGAACGAAUUUGGACCAGUCCAAAGCUAUUGUUUUUCAAGAGAAGAUAAUCCUCAGUAAAGUAAUGUCUCCUGGCUCAAGUCGUCACCCAGGCCAGUGAAUUUCUUUCUGUGGAAAGGAAAAAAUGGAGGAAUAAACAAAACACAGCAUGCAAGAAAUAAGGAUUCUCAUUCCACUUGAGUGUAGUUUGAUGCUUCAAGAGGAUACAAUGCAACAUGGGCCAUGGAAAACCAAAACAUCCAUUCUUGAGUCGGAGAUGUCCAGCAGUGGCCAUGAGCAGGUUUCAGUCCAUGGGCAGCUGGUUUCAUCGCUGUGGACUUGAGGUGAAGAAUCAGAGCAGAAGGGCAUCACAGAGGAAAAGCUGCUCACCACAUGCCAGCAAGGAAGUAGAGAGAAAUACUGGAGGGGGAACUUUGAAACACCCGAGAAGGACUCAAAAUGCCAGGUGGAGAGACUCAAAAUGCUCAGGCAGUGAGUGAGAAGGGGAACCUCUGGAUGGUUUAGAAAUACAAAAGAAUGCUACAGUAUAUUGCAAGAGGCUGGGAGUUUCUAUUCUUAUUACUGUCGUUGUUAC
rnacentral:lncRNA from 1 species